GCCUCUUUAGCUUAGUUGGUAGAGCGCAGCACUUGUAUGGUUAACUGUGAGAUGCUGAGGUCAGCGGUUCAACUCCGCUAGGGGGCA
rfam:Lipomyces starkeyi NRRL Y-11557 unplaced genomic scaffold LIPSTscaffold_4, whole genome shotgun sequence.